rnacentral:rRNA from 1 species
GACGAACGCUGGCGGCGUGCCUAAUACAUGCAAGUCGAACGCAUUUUCUUUCACCGUAGCUUGCUACACCGAAAGAAAAUGAGUGGCGAACGGGUGAGUAACACGUGGGUAACCUGCCCAUCAGCGGGGGAUAACACUUGGAAACAGGUGCUAAUACCGCAUAAUUCCAUUUACCGCAUGGUAGAUGGAUGAAAGGCGCUUUUGCGUCACUGAUGGAUGGACCCGCGGUGCAUUAGCUAGUUGGUGGGGUAACGGCCUACCAAGGCUGCGAUGCAUAGCCGACCUGAGAGGGUGAUCGGCCACACUGGGACUGAGACACGGCCCAGACGCCUACGGGAGGCAGCAGUAGGGAAUCUUCGGCAAUGGACACAAGUCUGACCGAGCAACGCCGCGUGAGUGAAGAAGGUUUUCGGAUCGUAAAACUCUGUUGUUAGAGAAGAACAAGGAUGAGAGUGGAAAGUUCAUCCCUUGACGGUAUCUAACCAGAAAGCCACGGCUAACUACGUG